UCAUCUGAAAGAGAGAACUCAUCUGCUUUUAAAAGCCAAGAACAGUCCAUGGCGUCCAUUCCUCUGCCAAAAGCAUAAUGCUGACUCAAUCUAGAAAACAUCGCUUUGAUCAAAGCUAAGUCAUUAUCCCCAAGACAUGCUCUUUCUCUUGUAUCUUCUGAAUGGACUUUCAUUUUCCCUCUUCUAUUUUUAUACUUAACUUGUCUAUCUUUGAAUACAUAUUAGAUUAUAAGAACAUCUAUUCUGUUAAAUAUUUUGGUGCAAAAAUAGCAUUUCAGCCUGGGGAUAUAGCUCAGCGGCAUAGUACCUGCCUGGCAAAUCCAAGGUAGUGAGUUUGAUCCCCAGUGCCAAAAAAAAAAGAAAGAAAGAAAGAAAGAAAGAAACAACAAAAAAGAAAAAUGAUAUUGCACUUAUAUUUCAUGUUCCAUAUUUUAAAAUAUGAACACAAAUAUAUAAACACACACAUGCACAUAGUUAUGUAUAGCAUCUAUCACAUAUAUGUGUAAGUACACACAUAUUCAGCUAUACAUUUCUCAUGAGUAAAGUAUUUAUACACAGAAAUCUCUCACAUGCCAUAUCUAUGAUUAUAUAAUGAAAACAACAUUCUCAGGAAGAAGGACUCUUCUGUUCCCAUGAAUGUUUCCCAGAGCAGAUGGGAUUUGUGCAGCUUGAGCAUAUGAGCUGAGCCCAUCUUCCGCUUUAUUUUAUCUGCUCAAAUGGUUUUUAAAAAUUCUGUUCUUAGAGAACUAAAAAUAAGCAGCCUACACUGAGCCCACAUGCUCAAAGAUAUAAAAUAAUAGUCCAGGAAUACAGCAUUCCCAGUCCCUCUGUAAUGAAGUACGGAGGAGCACCAUUCACAGGCCCAGAGGACCACGGAAGCGGCCAGGCAGCUCAGCGCACUCCUACCCUAACCAGACUGGUAUAGGGACUCUCUUCUUUGCAGGCUGAUUAAUGAACACUGGGUUUGCCAUGUGAAUGACUGGAUGGCAGUGAACAGGCUCAAUGGUACUGUUAGCCAAAAAGAACUUUUGGGCUGCAGCCAUGUUCACCUGCAGCACUGCCUUAGUCUUCUGACCGUCCUUACUCCAUUGAAACCUGAGGACGAGACAACCGGUCAGUGAAUGCAAAGCUCCCUGGGACACACCUUUGAUGCCCUAUGCUCAGGCUGGGUAUGAGAAGGCCCCCAGGGGACCUUGGUAGUGGCCAGAAGUCAUUGGAGGGAAUUCUGCUCACGUGUGGGUAGCAGAUCAAGAAACAGAACUGUAGAGGGUUAAACACGGAAGGAGUUGUCUAGGUCACCCAGCCAACUCAUCUUCUAAAUGAAAGACAAGUUCAGAAGGUGACUGGCUUGUCCACCCUCACAGCUUUGAGCUGCUGCAAGGCCCUUUGUGUGCGAAUCUCUGGAGAAUAAAGAAAGGGUUCCACCGUCAGACUCUUUGUAGGAAAUACCUAUUGCCCCAUAAUUGCUCCCUUCAGGUGUGCUGGCCGCAAUGGGAUGGGACACUGCCAUAUUUCCAGAACCUGUGAAAAGAAAUCAGAGUCAAACAUUUAAUGUCUAGCUGUUAAAACAACAGGACUCUAAUCAGUUCAACUCAUCAGGCCAUAGCAUUUGAAAUUUGAUUUUCUUUCUGCUUUAAUACAGUAGCCACCAAAUCUAGCCUGCUACUUGUUUUUCUACAGCACUUAAAUCAAGAUUUUAAAAGUUUGGGGAAAAAAUAAAAAGAACAUUUCAUGGUAGGUAAAAAAUUAUAUAUAAUUCAAAUUUUAGUAUUCACAUAUAAAGGUCUAUUGAAACACAACCAUGCUUUUUUUGGGUACAAAUAUGACUGCUUUUGUGCUAGAAUGGCACAGUUGAAGUAGUUGUAACUUAGAUUCUACAGCCCAAAGAGCCUUGCAUAAUUACUAUUUGAUUCUUUACAGAAAAAAUGAGCUGAUUCCUGCCUGACAGUAUUGCAGAAUCACAAGAAUUAAGUAGUCUGAGUCUGGAAUUGCUGUGGAGAAGGUCACCACUGAAUAGAAACACCAGAAAUAAACUGCUGUUAAGAAGUCCUAGUAAUUUGGAGGGUUUUAAAGAAGUACCAUUUAGCAGUACCCUGACUACAGGCAGGAAGUCCAAGUAAGGAGGAAGAUAUUGAAUUCACUGGAGCAACAACUGACCACAACAUGAACUAAGGAUUUGCCUGUGAGGAUCUUUAAAAAUGGGCCACUGGAUGUGAAGAAAACGGAGCCAUGCUGUACUGCUGCUAGAGAUGUGGAACGAUGCAGUUACGCUGGAGAACACUUGGACAUCUCCUCAAAGAGUUAAACAUGGAGUUAUCAUAUGACCCAGCAAUUGCACUUGCAGGGAUUUACAGCAUUCAUUCAUCAGUUUACAGAUACAGUUUGCACACUAUAAAUUUACUCUUCAAGGAGUUUUUGUACACUCCCAAAUUUAUGUAACUAUUACUAUUAGCUUAUCUUAGAGAAUUUUCAUUACUGCGAAAUUAAACCCUGCACCCAUAGGUGAUUACUCCUCAUUGCCUUUUUGCUCCAGAUCCAGGCAACCACUGAUGUACUUUAAAAAUUUUUUUUUUUAAUUUUGAGACAGUAUUUUGCUGCAUAAUCCAGACUGGUCUUACACUCACUAUGUAGACCUAGCUGGUCCUCAAAUUCCUGGUGAUUACACUAAGCCUGCAAGGAUUAUCCAAGAUGAUUUUAUCACAUCCUAAAGUUCUCUUUGCUAUGUAAUAGCACAUUGACAGAACUAACAUCUGGACAGAUUUGGGGGCCAUUAUUCUGUCUGCCACAACAUUUUAACAUAAAAUCUCUAAUCCACAAACAUGAGAACUCUUUAAAAACUUGCUUUACUUAUUUGGGCUUUAAGUUUCUUUCAGUGAUGUUUUGUAGUUUUGAACAUACAAAUAAUACACUUACUUUGUGAAAUUUAUUCUUCAAUGUUAAGUUUUUGUGAAUUGAGUUCUCUAAUAAUUUCAUUUUUGUAUUGUCUAUUGCUUGUAUAUGAAAAUAUAACUGAUUUUUGUAUGUUGAUCUCAUAUCCUGCAAUCCCAUUUAACUCAGAGUUACUUUUUGGAGUAAUGAAGAUACUCUGAAAUUAGAUAUUCAGUGGUGACGAUUGUCUUACUGUGAUUAUACUAGAAAUUCCAGAAUAGUAUAUUUUAAAGGGGUGAAUUUUAUGAUUUAUGAUUUUUCUCAGUAAAACUGUUUUUAACAAGCCAGAUAGACAUUUGGGAAUGUCUAAAAUUGACCCUUCAUUCUGAAUGUAAGUUUAGAGGGGCUGGAAGUGGUCAUGCUUUGGGUACAUUUUUCUUAAUUUACUUCUUAUUUAUUUCCUGGUGGGGACCUUGUUCCUGUGUGACUAUGGAAGAACUUCCCUUUAACACUCUUUUGUUCCUAGAUAUGCCAACCUCAUCCCUACCUUGGGACCUUUGCUUUUCCUCUGACAGAGUUGCUCUCUCCCUAGAUCCCUGGAUGGCUGGCUCUUUCUUGUAAUUCAGGUCUUGUUCUGAGAGGUUCUUUUUCCUGAUUAAAUCAAAUCCAAAAUGGU